rnacentral:ncRNA from 2 species
AUAAAUUAAGCGUUAACCCCUCGUAUAAUCAUGGGAAUAUGGCCCAUAAGUCUCUACCCGGCAACCGUAAAUUGCCGGACUAUGAGGGAAAGUUGAUAUGGC